rnacentral:rRNA from 1 species
CAAAAACAUCACCUCAUGACACCCAUAAGAGGCCCAGCCUGCCCAGUGACAAUUUUAACGGCCGCGGUAUCCUAACCGUGCAAAGGUAGCGUAAUCACCUGUUUCUUAAUUAGAGACCUGUAUGAAUGGCACCACGAGAGUCCGACUGUCUCCUUUCUCCAGUCAGUGAAACUAAUCUUCCUGUGAAAAAGCAGGGAUCCUCUAACAAGACGAGAAGACCCUUUGGAGCUUAAGACAAAUAAAAUUUUUAUGCCCCCUUUUUACUAAAUACCUCGCGACACCAAAUUUUAAUAGUCUUCGGUUGGGGCAACUACGGAGUAAAAACAACCCUCCAAGAUGCAACGGAGCCCUCCUAAACAAAAAGCCACAGCUUUAUGUAUCAAUAAACUGACAUUAUUAGACCCAAUAUUUUGAUUAACGAACCAAGUUACCCUAGGGAUAACAGCGCAAUCCACUCUGAGAGUCCCUAUCGACGAGUGGGCUUACGACCUCGAUGUUGGAUCAAGGUACCCCAGUGGCGCAACCGCUACUAAAGGUUCGUUUGUUCAACGAUUAAAACCUCACGUGAUCUGAUUUCAGACCGGA